GACGAACCGUGCGAACGUUGUUCGGAAUCACUGGGUUUAAAGGGCGCGUAGGCGGGCUGUCAAGUCGGUGGUGAAAUCGUUCCGCUCAACGGGACAAUGGCCUUCGAUACUGGCGGCCUGGAGGGAGGUAGGGGCAUGCGGAACUUCCGGUGGAGCGGUGAAAUGCGUAGAUAUUCGGAAGAACACCAGUGGCGAAGGCAGCGAACUGGCGCUCGAUUGACGCUCAGGCACGAAAGCAUGGGGAUCAAACAGG
rnacentral:rRNA from 1 species